rnacentral:rRNA from 1 species
AGCGGCGGAUGGGUGAGUAACACGUGGGGAACCUGCCCCUAAGUCUGGGAUACCAUUUGGAAACAGGUGCUAAUACCGGAUAAUAAAGCAGAUCGCAUGAUCAGCUUUUGAAAGGCGGCGUAAGCUGUCGCUAAGGGAUGGCCCCGCGGUGCAUUAGCUAGUUGGUAAGGUAACGGCUUACCAAGGCGACGAUGCAUAGCCGAGUUGAGAGACUGAUCGGCCACAUUGGGACUGAGACACGGCCCAAACUCCUACGGGAGGCAGCAGUAGGGAAUCUUCCACAAUGGACGCAGGUCUGAUGGAGCAACGCCGCGUGAGUGAAGAAGGUUUUCGGAUCGUAAAGCUCUGUUGUUGGUGAAGAAGGAUAGAGGUAGUAACUGGCCUUUAUUUGACGGUAAUCAACCAGAAAGUCACGGCUAACUACGUGCCAGCAGCCGCGGUAAUACGUAGGUGGCAAGCGUUGUCCGGAUUUAUUGGGCGUAAAGCGAGCGCAGGCGGAAAAAUAAGUCUAAUGUGAAAGCCCUCGGCUUAACCGAGGAACUGCAUCGGAAACUGUUUUUCUUGAGUGCAGAAGAGGAGAGUGGAACUCCAUGUGUAGCGGUGGAAUGCGUAGAUAUAUGGAAGAACACCAGUGGCGAAAGGCGGCUCUCUGGUCUGCAACUGACGCUGAGGCUCGAAAGCAUGGGUAGCGAACAGGAUUAGAUACCCUGGUAGUCCAUGCCGUAAACGAUGAGUGCUAAGUGU